rnacentral:ncRNA from 1 species
GUAAAGAGGGCUUUUUAAUGCCUUUUACUAUUCAGGUUAUCCUCACGCUCAGACUCGCCAAAGUUUUGAGAGCGUGGGGAUUUUU